GUGCUCACUUUGGCAGCACGUAUACUAAAAUCGGAACGAUACAGAAAAGAUUAGCAUGGCCCCUGUGCAAAUUCAUGGAGCAUCCCACAUUAAAAAAAAAAAAUCUAC
rfam:Myotis brandtii contig227370, whole genome shotgun sequence.